rnacentral:rRNA from 1 species
UUGACCUCGGAUCAGGUAGGGAUACCCGCUGAACUUAAGCAUAUCAAUAAGCGGAGGAAAAGAAACCAACAGGGAUUGCCCCAGUAACGGCGAGUGAAGCGGCAAGAGCUCAAAUUUGAAAGCUGGCUCCUUCGGGGUCCGCAUUGUAAUUUGUAGAGGAUGCUUCGGGAGCGGUCCCCAUCUAAGUGCCCUGGAACGGGACGUCAUAGAGGGUGAGAAUCCCGUAUGGGAUGGGGUGUCCGCGCCCGUGUGAAGCUCCUUCGACGAGUCGAGUUGUUUGGGAAUGCAGCUCUAAAUGGGUGGUAAAUUUCAUCUAAAGCUAAAUAUUGGCCGGAGACCGAUAGCGCACAAGUAGAGUGAUCGAAAGAUGAAAAGCACUUUGAAAAGAGAGUUAAAAAGCACGUGAAAUUGUUGAAAGGGAAGCGCUUGCGACCAGACUCGCUCGCGGGGUUCAGCCGGCAUUCGUGCCGGUGUACUUCCCCGCGGGCGGGCCAGCGUCGGUUUGGGCGGUCGGUCAAAGGCCCUCGGAAGGUAACGCCCUUACGGGGCGUCUUAUAGCCGAGGGUGCAAUGCGACCUGCCUAGACCGAG